GCUUACGGCCCAUACCAGCCCAAUGAACGCCCGGUCUCGUCUGAUCUCGGAAGCUAAGAAGGCUUGGGCCUGGUUAGUACUUGGAUGGGAGACCUCCUGGGAAUACCAGGUGCUGUAAGCU
ensembl:rRNA 5S_rRNA 5S ribosomal RNA